rnacentral:rRNA from 1 species
UACGAAGGGGGCUAGCGUUGUUCGGAAUCACUGGGCGUAAAGCGCACGUAGGCGGCGCGUUAAGUCAGGGGUGAAAUCCUGGAGCUCAACUCCAGAACUGCCUUUGAUACUGGCGUGUUCGAGUGUGGGAGAGGUUGGUGGAACUCCGUGUGUAAGGGUGAAAUUCGUAGAUAUUCGGAAGGACACCAUGGGCGAAGGCGGCCAACUGGCCCAUUACUGACGCUGAGGUGCGAAAGCGUGGGGAGCAAACAGG